rfam:Triticum aestivum genome assembly, contig: Triticum_aestivum_CS42_TGACv1_scaffold_002097_1AL
UAUGUACUCACUCCGUUCCGAAUUACUUGUCUUGGAUUUGUCUAGAUACGGAUGUAUCUAGACAAAUCCAAGACAAGUAAUUCGGAACAGAGGGAGUAUGAU